rnacentral:lncRNA from 1 species
CUUUUCUUUUUGCAUGUCAAGAUAUUGCGGAGCAGAACUCAAAAGCUGCUUCAGAUUCUGAAAAAUUACUUUGUGUCCUUAUGGAUCUUUUCAUCUGAAGAAGAUAAAGUAAUUUAAAAAUGUGAAAUCUUUCAAGCUCCAAAGCUUUAUGCUUUCAGAUAACAACUGCAACCGGGUAUAUGAGUCUGAGAAGAGUUUGCCAACUGAUCAGUGAAAUUUGGGGAUUUUUCUAUUACAUUAUCAAGGAUAUUGCUGGCAUCUGUGGUAGUGCCCAGAAGAUAUCCAGAUUUGCUGACUGGCUGGAGUUAAGCUGCUGCUUCUUUAAUUACUGCUCUCUUCAGCCAGUCCUUGUGGAGAAGAACUUUGGGUAUGCUGCUCUACCGGUAUUUAUGGAGGUCUGUGAUGAGUUGAUGCUGGUUGGCUGCCAAAUGCCCAUCAAAGGCCUUGUAUCACUCCUGAGAUGGACAGGGGAGAGAAAAUACAAGGAAAGGUUUGUGAAUUGAGGUAAUGGCAGGAACAGAUCACUCACCAAUUAUGGACUCAACUUUGGGGAAAAAAAUAAAAAUAUUAAUCAAAUCA